UCUCAGCACAUGGGAGAACCCGAAACGCGACCUUCGCGUCAGGGUGCCGAAGGAGCAACCGCCCCGGAAACUCUCAGGCCCACGGACCGUGUGCGAUUA
rnacentral:ncRNA from 2 species